AUUGAACGCUGGCGGCAGGCCUAACACAUGCAAGUCGAGCGAGCGGCGGACGGGUGAGUGAUGGCUGGGAACCUGCCUGAUGGGGGGGGAUAACUACUGGAAACGGUAGCUAAUACCGCAUACGAUCAGAUAUGCCCAGAUGGGGUUAGCUCGGAGGUGGGGUAACGGCUCACCUAGGCGACGAUCCCUAGCUGGCAUGAGAGGAAGACCAGCCAAACUGGAACUGAGACACGGCCCAGACUCCUACGGGAGGCAGCAGUGGGGAAUAUUGCACAAUGGGCGCAAGCCUGAUGCAGCCAUGCCGCGUGUGUGAAGAAGGCCUUCGGGUUGUAAAGCACUUUCAGCGGGGAGGCGUUACCCGCAGAAGAAGCACCGGCUAACUCCGUGCCAGCAGCCGCGGUAAUUC
rnacentral:rRNA from 1 species